CAGUCGCCGCGGGAAUACGGAGGGUGCAAGCGUUAAUCGGAAUUACUGGGCGUAAAGCGUGCGCAGGCGGUUAUAUAAGACAGAUGUGAAAUCCCCGGGCUCAACCUGGGAACUGCAUUUGUGACUGUAUAGCUAGAGUACGGCAGAGGGGGAUGGAAUUCCGCGUGUAGCAGUGAAAUGCGUAGAUAUGCGGAGGAACACCGAUGGCGAAGGCAAUCCCCUGGGCCUGUACUGACGCUCAUGCACGAAAGCGUGGGGAGCAAACAGGAUUAGAUACCCCGGUAGUCCCUGUCUCUUAUAC
rnacentral:rRNA from 1 species